CCUACGGGUGGCAGCAGUCGAGAAUCAUUCACAAUGGGGGAAACCCUGAUGGUGCGACGCCGCGUGGGGGAAUGAAGGUCUUCGGAUUGUAAACCCCUGUCAUGUGGGAGCAAAUUAAAAAGGUAGUACCACAAGAGGAAGAGACGGCUAACUCUGUGCCAGCAGCCGCGGUAAUACAGAGGGCUCAAGCGUUGUUCGGAAUCACUGGGCGUAAAGCGUGCGUAGGUGGGUUCGUAAGUCGUGUGGGAAAGGCGCGGGCUAAACCCGCGGACGGCACAUGAUACUGCGAGACUAGAGUAAGGGAGGGGGGACAGGAAGUUCUGGGGUAGCAGGGAAAAGCGUAGAU
rnacentral:rRNA from 1 species